rnacentral:rRNA from 1 species
UUGAUCCUACGGGGGGCAGCAGUGGGGGAUAUUGCACAAUGGGCGCAAGCCUGACGCAGCGACGCCGCGUGAGCGAAGAAGUAUUUCGGUAUGUAAAGCUCUAUCAGCAGGGAAGAAAAUGACGGUACCUGACUAAGAAGCUCCGGCUAAAUACGUGCCAGCAGCCGCGGUAAUACGUAUGGAGCAAGCGUUAUCCGGAUUUACUGGGUGUAAAGGGGGCGCAGACGGCGAUGCAAGCCAGGAGUGAAAGCCCCGGGCCCAACCCCGGGACUGCUCUUGGAACUGCGUGGCUAGAGUGCAGGAGG